UACGUAGGGGGCAAGCGUUGUCCGGAAGUCAUUGGGCGUAAAGAGCGUGUAGGCGGCCAGAAAAGUCCGCUGUGAAAACUCGAGGCUCAACUUCGAGCUGUCGGUGGAAACUUUCUGGCUAGAGUCCGGAAGAGGAGAAUGGAAUUCCUGGUGUAGCGGUGAAAUGCGCAGAUAUCAGGAAGAACACCCGUGGCGAAGGCGGUUCUCUGGGACGGUACUGACGCUGAGACGUGAAAGCGUGGGGAGCGAACAGG
rnacentral:rRNA from 1 species